rnacentral:piRNA from 1 species
UCAAAGCCUGGACAAUCCCCUACAACUGUUC